AUACGGAGGAUCCAAGCGUUAUCCGGAUUUAUUGGGUUUAAAGGGUGCGCAGGCGGCCUUAUAAGUCAGUGGUGAAAUCUCCCGGCUCAACCGGGAAACUGCCAUUGAUACUGUAAGGCUAGAAUACAGACGAGGUAGACGGAAUGUAGCAUGUAGCGGUGAAAUGCUUAGAUAUGCUACAGAACACCAAUCGCGAAGGCAGCUUACCAGACUGUAAUUGACGCUAAGGCACGAAAGCGUGGGGAGCGAACAGGAUUAGAAACCCCAGUAGUCC
rnacentral:rRNA from 1 species